GAUGAACGCUGGCGGCGUGCCUAAUACAUGCAAGUCGAGCGAACAGACUAGGAGCUUGCUCCUCUGACGUUAGCGGCGGACGGGUGAGUAACACGUGGAUAACCUCCCUAUAAGACUGGGAUAACUUCGGGAAACCGGAGCUAAUACCGGAUAAUAUCUUGAACCGCAUGGUUCAAUAGUGAAAGACGGUUUUGCUGUCACUUAUAGAUGGAUCGCCGCGGCAUUAGCUAGUUGGGAAGGUAACGGCUUACCAAGGCAACAAUGCGUAGCCGACCUGAGAGAGUGAUCGGCAACAUGGGAACUGGAACACGGUCAAGACUCCUACGGGAGGCAGCAGAAGGGAAUCUUCCGCAAUGGGCGAAAGCCUGACGGAGCAACGCCGCGUGAGUGAUAAAGGUCUUCGGAUCGUAAAACUCUGUUAUUGGGGAAAAACAAAUGUGGAAGGAAAUAUGCACGAAUUGACGGUACCUAAUCAGAAAGCCACGGCUAACUACGUG
rnacentral:rRNA from 1 species